rnacentral:tRNA from 1 species
CAGGGAGACAACAAAAUGUUUAAUAUUAUUUUGUCACCUUAGGUCGAUCGGUAUCUCACGUUCUUAACUAAUUAAGAAUUUCUUUUCCUAAGUUUUUCUAGGUCACACCCAUUAUUUUUCCUGGGCCAUUAGCUCAGGUGGUUAGAGCGCACCCCUGAUAAGGGUGAGGUCCCUGGUUCAAGUCCAGGAUGGCCCAUAUCUCUAUGUUGGGGGUAUAGCUCAGUUGGUAGAGCGCCUGCUUUGCAAGCAGGAUGUCAGCGGUUCGAGUCCGCUUACCUCCACUGAUUACCACCUCUUCCAUAACCGGUAUUGAAGGAAAUGUUUUGAGUAGUGAUCAAAUUCUGAAAGAAUCUAGCUUCCUAAUGAAAUCAUUAAGAUGCUGGACUCAUUGAAUUAAUUUCAUUGUUUUCAGAGAACCUUGACAACUGCAUAGAUUAUUUUUUAAAGACAAUAAGCAUCUUUAAUGAUGCAGAUUUAUUAUUUGUGCGAAUGCAUUAAUAACAAUUCUAUUAAGCUGAUGCUUCAAUUUUGAAGUUAUU